GCCAGACUAGCUCACUCAGUAGAGUAUGAGUCUCUUAAUCUCACAGUUGUGGGUUCAAGCUCUAUGUUGGCU
rnacentral:tRNA from 1 species